GUUAAUGUAGCUUAAUUCCAAACCAAAGCACUGAAAAAUGCUUAGGAUGGGUUAUUUUUAC
rnacentral:tRNA from 1 species